GUUCAGCACUGCUGCUACUCUCCCUAGGAGUGGCCGUCCUGUAAAGAUGACUGCAAGAGCACAGCGCAGACUGCUCAAUGAGGUGAAGAAGAAUCCUAAAGUGUCAGCUAAAGACUUACAAAAGUCACUGGCAAAUGCUAACAUCCCUGUUAGCGAAUCUACAAUACGUAAAACACUAAACAAGAAUGGAUUUCAUGGGAGGAUACCACAGAGGAAGCCACUGCUGUCCAAACAAAACAUUGCUGCACGUUUACAGUUUGCACAAGAGCACCUGGAUGUUCCACAGCAGUACUGGCAAAAUAUUCUGUGGACAGAUGAAACCAAAGUUGAGUUGUUUGGAAGAAACACACAACACUAUGUGUGGCGAAAAAAAGGCACAGCACACCAACAUCAAAAC
rnacentral:lncRNA from 1 species